CACGUAGGGGGCGAGCGUUGUCCGGAUUUAUUGGGCGUAAAGAGCUCGUAGGCGGCUCAGUAAGUCAGGUGUGAAAACUCCAGGCUCAACCCGGAGACGCCACCUGAUACUGCUGUGGCUAGAGUCUGGUAGGGGAGCAUGGAAUUCCUGGUGUAGCGGUGAAAUGCGCAGAUAUCAGGAGGAACACCAGUGGCGAAGGCGGUGCUCUGGGCCGGAACUGACGCUGAGGAGCGAAAGCGUGGGGAGCGAACAGG
rnacentral:rRNA from 1 species